rnacentral:misc_RNA from 1 species
GUGAAUCAUCAAAUCUUUGAACGCAAAUGGCACUCCCUGGUAUUCCGGGGAGUAUGCCUGUUUGAGGUUCGUUAGAAUAAAAUAUCGAUUCGACGCUCUUUUUUUUAAUGGUGUUCUCGUCGUUAUUGAACUGUCUUUCAAAUGUUAAUUAAUGUCAAAGUAGCUUGAAAUGCUUCGAUCUUGUUU